rnacentral:rRNA from 1 species
AGCUCCAAUAGCGUAUAUUAAAGUUGCUGCAGUUAAAAAGCUCGUAGUUGCAUUUCCGAGGCAAGGGAUUAGUCCGACCUUUGGUGGGUAUUUAAUCCUCUUGCCUCGUCCUUGAGUGGUGCUUCUUGGUAUUAAGUUAUCGAGGAGAUAGCCGCUCAUCGUUUACUGUGAGAAAAUUAGAGUGUUCAAAGCAGGCUUAUGCCGUUGAAUAUAUUAGCAUGGAAUAAUAAGAUAGGACCUCGGUACUAUUGUGGUGGUUUGAGAACCAAGGUAAUGAUGAAUAGGGACAGUUGGGGGUAUUCGUAUUCAGUUGUCAGAGGUGAAAGUCUUAGAUUUACGGAAGACGAACUACUGCGAAAGCAUUUACCAAGGAUGUUUUCA